rnacentral:rRNA from 1 species
GACGAACGCUGGCGGCGUGCUUAACACAUGCAAGUCGAACGGAAAGGCCCUGCUUUUGUGGGGUGCUCGAGUGGCGAACGGGUGAGUAACACGUGAGUAACCUGCCCUUGACUUUGGGAUAACUUCAGGAAACUGGGGCUAAUACCGGAUAGGAGCUCCUGCUGCAUGGUGGGGGUUGGAAAGUUUCGGCGGUUGGGGAUGGACUCGCGGCUUAUCAGCUUGUUGGUGGGGUAGUGGCUUACCAAGGCUUUGACGGGUAGCCGGCCUGAGAGGGUGACCGGCGACAUUGGGACUGAGAUACGGACCAGACUCCUACGGGAGGCAGCAGUGGGGAAUAUUGCGCAAUGGGCGGAAGCCUGAUGCAACAACGCCGCGUGCGGGAUGACGGCCUUCGGGUUGUAAACCGCUUUCGCCUGUGACGAAGCGUGAGUGACGGUAAUGGGUAAAGAAGCACCGGCUAACUACGUG